rnacentral:lncRNA from 1 species
UCAAAUCGCAAAUCCCUCACACAUGCAACAUCUCUAUUCAGUGAUUUCAUCUAAAAGGGAUUAGACCCAUCUUGGAGGAAACUUGGUUUCGAAAAUUUGACACUUACUGCUCUCUUCGCUAUCACGGCGGUAUGAGCUAUCGAUGUUCGAUUUCUCUCAAUGACUUGCACCAUUGUGCGCCGCGCGUGGUGGCGAUGCGAUAGGAUCCGCGGUCUGCGUGGUUUCGCCUAUCUUCAGCUCUUUUCAGUGUUUAGUCAUCAGCCGGUCCCGUCGAAUCGCUGUCCUCCGCGGAACGCAACACGCCCAUGAAAACAAGUAACAGGAGAUUCACCUAUAGCUUCCAGUCUCUCCUCUGCUGACGAAGUUCACUCGAUAAGGAGUCAGCAUGCAGUUUUAUGGAUCAAAUUCCUGUUUCCCGCAGCUCAAACUCUGCUGCUGCGGCUGUUCCCUCCGAACGGGUGUCCUUAUCAUGGGCUGGUUAAGUGCGGUUUGUGGAGGGAUUUAUCUUUUAGCUCAAUGGCCUAUCGCUGAUGCUCUACUGAAUUUUGCUAUAACCAGCAGCCUCAGUGCCAAAAUUGCGGUCUUUUUGUGGGUGAUGGACUACUUUAUUACUGGUGUUCUAGUGACGAUUACUGCCGUCAUUUUACUGAUUGGAGUCCACAAGAACAAUUCGAGGAAAGUCUUGCCUUACCUGAUAGUGGGCAUUGCCAGGGCGAUUAAACUAGCCGUGGAGAUUCCACUCUUCACCUUCACUGACAUCGGCACUAGCGUGAUAAUUAAGAUUCACGACAUCCAGACAAAUGUGUUCCCACAUCCACUUGUUUUGUGCAUUGAACUCGCCGUAAACUUCUACUUCCUUGCUGUUAUUAACAGCCACUACGUCGAAAUGGAAGGGACACUCCCUCGAUAAGGAAACAAUAGUUUCAUCGAGUGUUACCUGAAGGGAAACGACCCACCCCACGAGUCUACAAUUUCCAAUUUAUUUUUGUUCCAGCCUGUUACUAUAGUGUAAGGUUUAUUUUGCAUUUAUUCAAUGCGGUUUUGUUAAAUACUGUCACUGCAAAUGUUACUGUUAGUGUAAGUAUUUUUUGUAAUUUUGUGCCAGUACUUACAUGGAUAACUCAGUUUUUUCAAAAUUUUAUUUGCAUUUCUGAAAGGAAUUUUUCUGUUUUCAGUGUGGUUACCUACAAGUUUCCUUCGCCCAGGCUUCAUUCGCUCAGUUUCCAUAUUCCGACUGAAAUUAUCUCUCAUUCGGUCUGAUCAAUUUUCCGCACAAAUGCCCAAUCUUAUUAUUUUCCAGUAUCAAACUUAAAAACAUUUAGAUUCUAUGCAGUUGCUUCUACGUUACUCCUCCAACAUUACGUAAAUGUUUGCGGUUACCAUGUUUUUUUUUUAGAAAAAAUGUUCUGUUACUUCAAUCUAAGUUUUCGUACUUACAUGCUUAUUACGAAGUUUAAGGAGUUUACCGAGAGCUUUCUAUUUUGUAUUCAUUCUCAAGUCUUUAAUUUUAUUUUUUGUAAACAUUGUUUUUUCCUCGAUAAAUUUACAACGUUCUAUUUUCUAAUAAUAUUUUCAUUUCUUGAUUUAGAUUAUUUUCCUCCUAGGCAAGACGUGUUGGUCAAAAUUCAUUUCAAGAUUAAGUUUCCACCCAUUUUUGAGAGAAAAAAGAUGAUCUCCGUUCUUUCUCUGCGCGUUUUACAGUUUUUUUUUUUUUUUUUUUUUUUUUUUUUUUAAUUUUAUUGGUAAAUUGAUCUUCUGUACAGAAAUUACAAUGCAGCUAUUUUUAAGGUUAUUCCAGAAGUGGGAAAGACAGGACACUAUUUUGACAGAGCCAGACUUGGACAACAAAUCUCAUCGCGGCAAAGCAAGGUUAUUCUUCAGGCCUACGGCUCACGGUGGAUCGGGUCAAUUCCAGAGGUCGGAAAUGAAAUUUUUGACUAAAACUUCAAAUUUUGAUGUUAAAAUUGUCACAUUUUAAAUUUCAAGGGGUGCUUUAAGAAGAGAAUUUCACGAGGAAACCAAUGGAACCACUUCUAAACCCUCAAAAUUUUGUAUGAACGGUGUUAUAAGCGUUGAAAGUUUCCAAAUUUGGUCUAACUUCUCCUAUUGACUCGAUGCAUUGUGCAGCGCACAGUGGAGUAAGCCAAUAGCAUAUACUGCCGUGCUAAGGAUAAUCGCCGUAUGAACCCUCAGGCGUUGCCAAAUUUCCUUUGAUAAAACCCGAAUUUCCUGGUAAAACUUUGGCUAUUUUCCUUCCAAUUUUUCAGAUAAUUUUGCUCCCACUUUCAUCCAAAGUUUCUGAAAAUUUCAGGGAAUAAUAUUCAUAAAUUUUCUCAAAAAUAAACAUUUUAUUGAAGGAAAUUUGGCAACCCUCGAAUGUUCAUACGGCGUUCUUCCUCAGCACGGCAGCAUAGGUCACACAUGUCGUAGAAACUUCAAAAGCUUAUCGGUUUAUUAAUAGAAAAUCUAGAUGUUUGAAAAAGGAAUUCCAUUGAUUUUCUUGUUGAUUUUCGGCGAAAAAGCAUCUCUUGAAAUUUAAAUUGUGACGAGACGAACAUUCACAUUUUCAGUUUUCAGUCAAACAUUUCAUGCCCGACUUCUUAAUCGCUCGUUUCACUGUGCGUUGGCGGAGUCCGUAGGCUAUAAUUCAAAUGAAACUCCAUAAUUUUCAGUUUUUUCCUCAAUUAAAAUAAUCAUGUGUGUAUAGAAGUCUUCUCUCUGGGCUCAGCUGGCACAUUUUUGCACGAUCAUUUUUGCGGGUCGAUUGUUGAAUCGUUAUCGAAUGACCUUGAUCGAUAGAAAGCAUUGCCAAGAUAGGGAUAUAUCGAUCGACUUCAUUCGAUAACGAUUCAACAAUCGACCCGCUGAUCGGGAUUCCCCGAGAGAAUGGAUUAUUUUUGUUUGUAGGAUGAUUCCACCGUGGUUUCGAGUGCGAACCUGGUUUACUUUAAUAAGAAAAAUUUUAAACUGAAAGCGUCGCUGAGUUUUCCUCUGAUUUUAUGAUAAAAUCAGCAAAAUUUUGGACUGAAAUCGCCCUGUCAUAUCCAGAGGGUAUGGAUUCGAUCGACAUGCAUUGACCGAAAAAUGAGAGCGUGAAUCGAUCG